CAUAGGGUUGAUUUAACCAGAUGAUCUGACACAGGCAUUGGCUGUGAAAAUAUAAAUUUUGACUCUUCUUGGUACGGUGCUUCUUGCAAUAUACAAAUCUGAUACGGGUCAUUUUUUUUUUACAUGUAGAUUUAUUUUUGUACAAUUUUGUAAACUUCAAUCAGGCAAAAAAGUCCAAGGUCUGUUUUAAAAAAAUAAAUAAAUAAAUAAUUAUCUUUGAAAGUGGGCUUGGUAAUGUCAUGUGCCAUCCUGGAUGAGUCAGACUCAAAGGAGGGCUGUGAUGAAUGGGAUAUAAACAUUUUGAGAAUUCUAUUACUUUGUCAGUGUUGGAGAAUUUGUUCAUUUGUUUGUGAAUGUUAACAGUGUAUAUGAGUGUUAUGUAUUUCACAACAAUCUUAAUGAAAGCAAAAGUCAUGGAAGCUUGCAUUUAGAGAAUACAUUUUAUGACUUUUCAUAUGAUAAAAGCUAAAUAAGUGUUUGUUAGAAGCAGUAGAAUCUCACCAGAGUCUGAUGUGAUGAAAAAUAUUGUUCAAAAUAGUGCUGAAUGGACAAACUACAAAAUUGAAGAGAUUAAUAGGGCUGAGGUAGUUGAUUAGUGUAUGGUGCUGGGGGCCUUAGACAGAAUUGGUAUCUAUCUGUGUAUACAGCCAAGAUGGCGGUAGGCUCCAGGUGCCUUGGCAUUAAACCACUUCUGAAAAUGGUUUGACAUAAAACCAAGGGACUGCAAGGGAAACUUUUAGUAGCAAUCAGUUCCUUUAAACUAUAGCGGUUACAGUACCAGGAGUGUCCUGGCUCCCUCCCACAGUAAUUAGACAAAGGGUUUAACAGUUUACCUGGAUUACAUGGGGCACCUGCAGCUGCACUGCCUGCGUUUAUAAUCUCCUGCAAUCUGUUUAAUUCCACUGAGCUAAGCAUGGCCAUUCUCAUUGGCUGCAAGUGUCAGCUGAACACUCUCAACAAAUGAGGGGGGGCGGGAGGGAGGACAGUAUGAGGGGAGGAAGUGGAAGGAAAUGGAGAGGAGGACAGUAUGAGGGAAGGAAAUGGGGAGGAGGACAGUAUGAGGGAAGGAAAUGGGGAGGAGGACAGUAUGAGGGAAGGAAAUGGGGAGGAGGACAGUAUGAGGGAAGGAAAUGGAGAGGAGGACAGUAUGAGGGAAGGAAAUGGGGAGGAGGACAGUAUGAGGGAAGGAAACGGGAGGACAGCAGGAGGGGAGGAAAUAGGGGAAGGACAGUAUGAGGGAAGGAAACGGGAGGAGGACAGUAUGAGGGAAGGAAAUGGGGAGGAGGACAGUAUGAGGGAAGGAAACGGGAGGACAGCAGGAGGGGAGGAAAUGG